rnacentral:tRNA from 1 species
AACUGUAUAACUGAAAGGAAAGUGUGUAUUUUGAAAAUAUAUUAUAAAGGUUCGAAUCCUUUUGUAGUUU